rnacentral:rRNA from 1 species
UACGUAGGGGGCAAGCGUUGUCCGGAUUUAUUGGGCGUAAAGAGCGUGUAGGCGGCCAUACAGGUCCGUUGUGAAAACUGGAGGCUUAACCUCCAGACGUCGAUGGAAACCGUAUGGCUAGAGUCCGGAAGAGGAGAGUGGAAUUCCGUGGUGUAGCGGUGAAAUGCGCAGAUAUCAGGAAGAACACCCGUGGCGAAGGCGGCUCUCUGGGGACGGUACUGACACUGAGAAACGAAAGCUUGGGUAGCGAACGGG